AGAAGUCCUAUGCACAGGAUAAGGAAAAACAAAGUUUUUUAAAUGUUAACUUUCAAGUGAUACUUGGAAUAAUUGGUACAACUUUGCUUGUGAUGUGUAUAUGUCUUAGGCUUCAGUUCAUGCAAUAACACUGGAUAUGAUGGAAAAAAGAAUAACUAUUCUAUGUUGAAUAGCUAUUCUAAAAUUUGGUUAAAAUUUUCAAUGUGGA
rnacentral:misc_RNA from 1 species